UACCAGCACCCCGAGUGGUCGGGACGAUUAUUGGGCCUAAAGCAUCCGUAGCCGGCCUUACAAGUCCUCCGUUAAAUCCAGCUGCUUAACAGAUGGGCUGCGGAGGAUACUAUAAGACUAGGAGGCAGGAGAGGCAAGCGGUACUCAGUGGGUAGGGGUAAAAUCCGUUGAUCCAUUGAAGACCACCAGUGGCGAAGGCGGCUUGCCAGAAUGCGCUCGACGGUGAGGGAUGAAAGCUGGGGGAGCGAAUGGG
rnacentral:rRNA from 1 species